AGGGGAAGGAGCUGAAAUUUCUAGGGCUUUGAUUCAAGAGUUCAUCAAGUUGCAAUUGUUUUGGGCCUCAAUUUCCGUGGAAACAAUCACUGCCGAGCGCGGUGAAAGUCUCAGGCUGCAACAAAUACAAAUGGAUUUACCGCGCGCUGUUUCGAUUGAUUUGAUGUCGCGAUUAGUGCUGGCCCUGGUGGGAUCUGGACACUUUGUCUCGUCUGCCGUAUGAUGAUGGCUGAAGAUGGUGAAAAGCGCGGUUGGGUGUUGAUUUUCGCUACUUUUAGCUGCUGGUAGUUCAGUCGAAACAGCAACUUGUUCAUUCAAACAUCUAAUCAGUAGAGUGUGGGGGUGAUCUGCAUCAGAUACAGCUCAGAUUGCACUACAAACACGGCGGUGUGCGAUAUUGUGCGCCUCAGAUGCAUAAAGGGACAACACAAGAUCAUGGGGUUGUAAAGAAAUCCAUCCCCUGUUUGUAUGUGGAGAUAUCGAUCAAUUUUCCAUGUUCUUCUUGGCCCUUUUUCGACAUGAGAAAGUGGUUAAGGAAAGGCAAGCAUAUGCCUUUCUUACAUGACAACUACAUCUAGUCGAAAAUGGUUGGUUGGUGAUUGUCAACUUCCACAUCAUAUAUUAAUAUCCACAUGUUUGUUUACUUAGAAAUUUUGUUUUGUAUUUUGGUUAGAAUUGUGG